rnacentral:rRNA from 1 species
UACAGAGGUGGCAAGCGUUGUUCGGAAUUAUUGGGCGUAAAGAGCUCGUAGGCGGUGUGUCACGUCGUUCGUGAAAACCUGCAGCUUAACUGUGGGCGUGCGGUCGAUACGGGCAUCACUGGAGUUCGGCAGGGGAGACUGGAAUUCCUGGUGUAGCGGUGAAAUGCGCAGAUAUCAGGAGGAACACCGGUGGCGAAGGCGGUUCUCUGGGCCUGACCUGACGCUGAGGAGCGAAAGCGUGGGGAGCGAACAGG